UACGUAGGGUGCAAGCGUUGUCCGGAAUUAUUGGGCGUAAAGAGCUCGUAGGCGGUCUGUCGCGUCUGCUGUGAAAACUCGGGGCUUAACCCCGGGCCUGCAGUGGGUACGGGCAGACUAGAGUGCGGUAGGGGAGACUGGAAUUCCUGGUGUAGCGGUGAAAUGCGCAGAUAUCAGGAGGAACACCGAUGGCGAAGGCAGGUCUCUGGGCAUUAACUGACGCUGAUGCACGAAGGCCAGGGGAGCAAACGGG
rnacentral:rRNA from 1 species